rnacentral:lncRNA from 1 species
UAUAAAAAUCUGUACAAAAAUUAUUAAAAACCACUACAAUUUUUGUACAUAUUUUUAUAUUGGUUUAUGUAAAAAUAUUGAAAACCACUAUAUAAAAAAAGUAGAUGCAAGUCGAGAGAAUUGGAAAAUGGCCGAGAAAAUCAACAUCUGGCAGGUAAAUGUCCCCCACCGUACUGUCCAGAACCCCAAAAUCGAGAAACCUGUCAUCUACACCACCACCAACCAUGAAUCUUCCUUCAACCGCUUCUUCUUUAUAUAUAUAUAUAUAUAGAGAGAGAGAGAGAGAGAGAGCACGUAGAAAUGAAUUGGAUAUAGGAGAUAAUAUAGUCAUCAAAAUGGGUGACUAAUUCCCUAAUUAUUAGGACCCCUUUAAUGGAAAAUAUAUGGUAAAUCUUUUAAUAUCAAAAUUAGGGGUAUAAUGGUGAUAAUUAAAUUUUUUUAAUUAAUGAAAACUAGAAACUCUUUUAGUUUUAUCUUAAAAAUUUAAAAUAAAAUUGGGCUCAUUGUAAUGACACUUGUAUAAUAAGGGGUUUUGUAAAAUUAUCCCUAAAUAAUAAGUGCGCUUCACACAUACUUGAUCACGAAACGAGUCAAAAUCCGAUAGUUGUGGCUGUGAAUCUGCUUCCGUGGCCACCCAUCAGUGCCUGAAAUUAAAUAAAAUAAAAUAAAAUAUUUAUUGUUAAGGAAACAAGAAAAUAAUUGCUAGUAAAAAGAACCCACACUGAGAAAAAAAGAUUGAAAUUUCUGCAUUGAUUUAGGUCUUUGACCACAUAUUUCUACAAAGAAGAUGGGGAAAUUAGUCCUAUACAGAGCCCCGAAUUUCUGCAUUAAAUCGCACCAUCAAGCAUUGUGAACGAUGGAGGGACGCACAAAUCCCCAUAUCCACCAUCGGAGAUCGAACAAGUGGGAUGUCUCGCCGAGGAGGAAGAGGGCGGAGAGGGUGUAGUCAUCUGGAUGGGGUGGUGAGGGUGUGGGUCACGUGUGGGUGUGGGUGUGAGCGUAGGUGUGGGUUGUGGAGAGAGAGGAGAUAUAAGAGAAAUGAUAGAGACAACUACGAGUUAGGAAGAGUAGGUGAAAGGAAUUGAGAAAGUGUAAAAUGGGUUGUUGAUAAUAUAAUUUACUGAAUAAAAUACAAUUGGAUUUAUAUCUAAAAAAUGAGAAGAAAAAAA